AAUCAUAGCUCAGGAUGAACGCUAGCUACAGGCUUAACACAUGCAAGUCGAGGGGCAGCAUGGUCUUAGCUUGCUAAGGCCGAUGGCGACCGGCGCACGGGUGAGUAACGCGUAUCCAACCUGCCUUACACUCUUGGACAGCCUUCUGAAAGGGAGAUUAAUACAAGAUGUUAUCAUGGGUAAGCAUUUUCGCAUGAUUAAAGGUUUACCGGUGUAAGAUGGGGAUGCGUUCCAUUAG
rnacentral:rRNA from 1 species